GGGGGCGUACUGGUUUCGACCAUGUGAGUACGCCGGAGGCGGCAUGCCGAGGAUGGUUCGUUGGCCUCGUUAAAAAUCGAACCAAAAACAUAAAAGCUAACGAACAGUUGGCCCUCGCAGCCUAAGGCUGUGACGUUCGCCCUGUGAUCCCGGCUGGCGGGGUGGAACGCAUUUAGUCGGGGUGGUGAUCAACGGGGACAGCGCGUUGGUCGCCGAGAAAUUCCAUGCUGACUAAGCAGCAGGCAUCGUGUUGGGGUGUUAACCUGUAGCCGACAAUCAACCCUGACUAAGCAUGUAGUCGCGGCCGGUUUCCUUGCUUGGGACGCGGGUUCAACUCCCGCCGCCUCCACCA
rnacentral:tmRNA from 1 species